GACGAACGCUGGCGGCGUGCUUAACACAUGCAAGUCGAACGAAGUGGCGAACGGGUGAGUAAUACGUGGGUAACCUGCCAUCCUUUUUGGGAUAAGCCUUGGAAACGGUGUCUAAUACCGAAUAAAGGGGGAUGGGCUCGCGGCCUGUCAGCGUGUUGGUGGGGUGAUGGCCAACCAAGGCGGUGACGGGUAGCCGGACUGAGAGGGUGAACGGCGACAUAGGGACUGGUAUACGGCCCAGACGACGACGGGGGGGGGCAGUGGGGGAUAUUGGACAAUGGGGGAAAGACUGAUGCAGCGACGCCGCGGGGGGGAUUAGGGCUUUCGAGUUGUAAACCUCGUUCGGUAUCGAUCGGGUAGGUGGAGAAGAAGCGCCGGCUAACUACGUGCCAGCAGCCGCGGUAAUAC
rnacentral:rRNA from 1 species